rnacentral:lncRNA from 1 species
GAAAGUCGGUGAAGGACUUUCCAGAUUGUGAUGUUGACCACAGAAGGCACUGCAGUCCUGAGAUGUGACUUGAGGAGAUCAUCACCAGUUAAACACACCCCCCAUGCUCCUGUUUGAGCUCUCUGUGCAGACACAAAACAGUAUCAGUGUCCUUGAGAAGCUGGGGACUUGUUUUCUCUGAGGACAUGAUGUACUGCUGUGUCUCACCUGACCUGAAGUGAGGUGGGCUGUGGGAGAUUUUGGACUUGGAUAUCUUGGACUUGACUACCAAAUUUUUGGCUCUAGAAUUGGCCAGUGUGAGCAGCCGUCCCCCUAAGACUUCCCAAAAUUCUGAAGGCAUUGUAAAAGUUGUAAUCCAAGCAGGACUGUUGAAAGAUGUUCAGUGGGAAAAUCUGCAUCUGAAAAUAUGCUAAUAUAUUAAUAUUCUAAUGUACUGAUUUUUUUUUCAAUUAAAUGAUUCAUGCUAAAAAGUAUUUCUCAUCAAUUGGAAACAAUAUGCACUUCCUUUCAAAUCAGAAG